GCCAGAAUGGUGUAGUGGUUUGAGUGUUGGACUACAACUCUGGAGACCAGGGUUCAAUUCCCAGCUCAGCCA
rnacentral:tRNA from 1 species